GGUGUAGUCUUCUUAUCCUUUGUUGUAGAAAAAGAGCUCAUCCACUUUUCAGCUCUCUUUCAGAAGGAAAUGAUCCUUAUGUAGCUGCAGGAAUGGUGUGUCCAUGGGAGACGCUUCUGCCUGCCACAUUCUUCUGUUCUCCCAAAUCAGUCAAGGUUACAAGUACCAGGAAUCUGAACACUAAUCGAGGAUGGGUGUUAUUCCUCCACGGAAACCACUCCCUUGUCUACCUUUGCCAUACACACCGCGUCCAAUAGAAUCAAGAAUGGCCUUCCAUUUUAAACGUCCUCGAAUGUUGGAGUCGAGAACCUCUUAGGUAGCUAUAUAAGAUUUUUAAAGGGACGCAACUCAAACCUGAGAAAGAACAAUAAAAGCGAUUUUAGAAGGGUUUCUCCAGCAGCACCAGAAGACCUGUACCCCACCCAUACAGAAAAGCAGCCCACAGGUUCCCUUCUUAACUCCGUUACGGUGUCGGCGAGUGGCCAUGUCAGGCCCAGGCCCAGGUGCUCGCCGGCAGAAGCAAGGUGGCCUCGCACACGUCCCAGUCAGGCCGCUGCAGCAGGAGAGAGGGAAGCAGCUGUCGGGGAAACUGGGCACCAGGGAUGUACCAGAGGCAAGCCAGCCCCUGCCAGCCUCCCUCUUCGCUAAGGCUGGCUUUUGUUUCGGGCACAGGUUGGCUUUCCACACCUGUAAGUCGGGCAUGGGGGUAAAGAGCAGCCCUUUAUAAAGGAAGCACCCCCCGGACGACGUGGGGAGGCAUCUCAUCUCUCUUCGUUCCCGCUGGCUGAGGCAGAAGCUUCUCUGUGGACCAGCAAGCUCCCGGCCCUCCCCAUCUCAACGCUAUCGGCCUCAACCCCCCGGGUAAGGGAGGAAGAGAGCCGGCUGCAUUUGGUAAAGCAUAAUUCCCUUGCUACGUGCCACAUCCCAAGGUUACAAAGCAUGGGAGUGGAGACGGAAAUAAUCGGAUUACUUAAAAAUAUGUCCCACGCUCAAGGACUCCACUCGGGCAGUCACAGAGUUUCAAAGCUGAAUUGAUCUCUGCACGGUUUUCCAGUUAAGUGCCUUCGUUUUGCAGGUGAGGACGCCCAGAGAGGCAAAGAAACCCGUGUAAGGCACACAGCAAAUUCCCGUAAGGUCAGCACAAGAGCUUCCUGGGUCCUUGGGUUAUCUUGCCUGAUGAUAUGGAGAAGCAGUGGGCUUUUCCUUUUCACCUGGGAGCCGGACUUCUCCAAAUAACCGGGGGGGAGGCACGCGUGUUUCACACAUGGGGUUGCAAAAUGAGCGUGCAUUCGGGACGCGGAGUGGGGGUGGGGGAGCCCCCUUCACAGAGCAGGCUGGUCUUGUCUGCCGGCCUGAUAACCAGCUGAAACCUCAGGACACGCCAUUCUCAGCUUUUAGCACCCAAACGGGCAAAGGCUUCAAGAGGAGCCACGGUUUGUGGAAACGCGGCUGGGAACACCACUCCUCUCUGAGCUCCCUGGAAUUGCAGCUGGGAAUUCCCAGGGUCCCAGAGCGACCGUUACCAUAACCUCCCAACAGGGUGUAAGAGUCCACUGCACGAUAAUUCUGGCUGCCUCCCAAAUGGAACGAUAUCGAAGCUUUUCCUAACUUUAACAGAAACGGGGGUGUGGCGCGAAGUUCCCCUCGAAACCUGAAAUGGUCACCUCGGGUGUGGCCCGAGCACCGACGAGGGCAGCAGGGAUGAGCAUCCUGUUGCGUACCAGCCAUCGAGCCAGGACCCCGGCACAGACAGUCCCUGCAAGCCAGGAUCAUGCUCUGCGCACAUGCACAGAGGAGUUAGAGAUGACGGCUGGAUAAGGGAACAAUAAUCUGUGUGAUUCCCGGGGGUCUGAGGCUGUUCUUUCAGCCCCUGGAUGUCUGCCUGAACACAUCUCUCCAGGACAGAAUCAGAACCAUGUGGGAAGGAAGGAUGAGUUCAGGGACAGGAGCAAAGGGAGGGCAAGGGUGCACGCGGGUGUCGCCGAUGAGAACUCUGGUCGGAAGAUGCCACGUGAAAGAGGAAAGUCUUCCCGCCUGCUGACCACAUGGGCAAAGGUUUUGAGGGUCCCUUGGGCAAGGCUGAUGCACACUUGGUGGCAGCCCUCCUCCCAAAUCCUUACGGUAUCACGGCAGGACCAGGAGGGCCCGGGGGAAAGGGUUUGGGCCGCAGAAUCCGAUGGGCCCGAGUUUGAAUUCGGCCUUUGCCCCAGCCCAUUGAGUGACCUUGGCCAAGACUUAGUUUCCACAUCUGUAAAAGGGAAUUCACAAUCACACCCUCCCAAGCCUGCUGUGAAGGUAAAAGGAGAAAAAUGCAUGGGGAGUGCUUGGCAUAGAGUAAGUGCUCAGCAAAUGAAGACAGGAGCCAACAUUUAUCGAGAGAUUACUAUGUGCCAGGCACUUUGGCCAAGGUGCCAGGACACGGGGAUAACAGAGACUGGCUCAGCAUCUGCCUCUGGAACUUACAGUCUAAAGAACUUGGGCUGGCUUGCAAACCGUGCUACAUUCCUGGGCAUCACUAUGAACACAUCUUUACUGGUCAAUAUGAAUGAAUUCCUGCGCUCUGUUUUCCUUGAUGCUUGCUCUCGGAAAAUAACCCCUUAUCCUGUGGCAGAACCGACAAUGUUAUUUCUAUUGAGAUAACCGUUUUGUGCUAUUAGCCUCAUCACCAUCAUCGCCACAGCUCAUCAUUAAGCACUCACUACCCACCAGGCCUUUUGCUCAGCCCCUUACAUGGAUUCGUUCAUCCACUUGCAAGAGCAUCCUUUGCAAGCAGCACCAUUGCUGUUCAAAACAUGGGCCAACCAGCACCUGUGCCUCACCUGGGAGCCCGCCAGAAACACAAGUUCUCGGGCCCCACCCCAGCCCUACUGAUUCAGUAUCUGCCUUUCACCUAUAAUACCCCCAGUGGUUCCUAGUCAUGUCCAGGUUUGAAGAAGCACGGAUUCAUGAAGGAGACCAUCUCUUGGCAAAAAGCGGGCUGGUUUGGAGAGAUGUCCAAUCAUCUCUCUCAACUCCUCCUUCCCAGGACGCCACCGUAUAAUCCUGACAUGCUCACAAGGCUAAGAAAAAACCAAAGGGACCGGAAAACAAACAUCACAAUACUUCUGGGAGACCAAAAGAGAGCUGGAAGUAGGGAAGGGGGCGAGAGGGAAAAGGCCCAGACAGAGGGCUGACAGCCCCCACACGGGCCCACCCUCAGCACGUCCCCGAAGCCUCGAGGUCCCUGGAGGAGGUGUGGGUGGGCGCCUUCCCGUGGUGACAUCCCUGAGUCAGGGCUUGUGGUCUGGGAGGAGAAGAGCUUCCACAAGCCAGGGGAGGGAGGCCAAGUCCUCACUCGAAAUAUAGACAGAAGGAUGCCUACCAGGGACUGCCCGCCAGCUGGCCACUUGGGGGCCCCACAUGCCCCGACGCUGCCCAAGUCAACAUUUACCGCAAGUUCACAACGUCUUGGGAAUGCCCCCAGUGCACCAGCAAAUAAUUGCUGUUAAUAAAAGCUUAACACUUAGAAUGGGAGAGUUCUUGAUACGUGAAAGUGUGCCCUAGGGUUUCUCCUCCAUUCAGCUUCUAUUAAAGGCAUGAUUCCCAGAGAUCAUUUCAUUCAAGCCCAAGAUCUGGCAGCUGAAGGAACAGAAGCGAAACAGAUUUUCUGAAAGUAACUUCAAAUGUACAGUGUUGGGCUCAGAUAGAAGGAUUUAAUUUUUCUAAAACCCUGAGAAGGUUUAGUUAUAUUUUUUAAACACAUGUGUUUUGGAAAUACUUAAAUGGAAACCAUCCUACUCCUAAGUCUAUUUCAUACUAGAUGAUUAGAAGUCAUGUUUCUGGUAGGUAUUUUUACACUCUAGAAAUGCAGGACAAUUUCAUACUAAAUGAAAUACUUAGUUACACAUAUUUGUCCUUCCCCAGAGCACUUUCAAGUUCUCAUUAUCAAGAGGAAGGGUGAACUUUAUAUUUGUUUUUCCGUCCAUAAAUCACGAUCUACAGUAAAGACAGGUCCCACCCGCACACCAUCGACUCUGCUGUGUCCAAGCCUCCUCUGUUCCUUAAAUGAAAAAGGCUGCUUUCCUUUCAAGUACAUAAUAAAUCUAUUUGUAAAUCCA